GAAAUGCGAUAAGUAAUGUGAAUUGCAGAAUUCAGUGAAUCAUCGAAUCUUUGAACGCACAUUGCGCCCGCCAGCACUCUGGCGGGCAUGCCUGUUCGAGCGUCAUUUCAACCCUCAGAACCCCUUGCGGGAUCUGGCGUUGGGGAUUGGCAUCCAGCCAGCCCCGAAAUCUAGUGGCGGUCCCUCCGCGACCUCCCCUGUGCAGUAGCGAUACCUCGCAGCGGGACAGCGGUCUGACCACGCCGUAAAACCCCCUACUUCUCAAGUUUGACCUCGAAUCAGGUAGGAAUACCCGCUGAACUUAAGC
rnacentral:misc_RNA from 1 species